rnacentral:lncRNA from 1 species
GAUUACUUAUCUGUCUUGAAAAUAGCUGACGAUUCCUGGCCAAGAAAAUCUACGAACAAGCGACGCUUGACAUGCAGACCUCCUUAAGCGACAAAUGGUUCAAUCAAUUUUGCUGGUACGUCUCUUUCUUCUCUUCUCCCACUACUCUUUCUUUGGUUGAUCUGAGAUCGUCAUGAUCUUUAGAUAAAACCCCAGAAACGCACUUGGCAACCCUUCAAAUAAAACGCACUUGGCAACCCUACAAAUUAAUCUCUCUCUUCUUUUUUGGGUUUCAUGACAACAUUUGCAGUUCCUUUUUCUUAUUUUUGCGUGCUUGCAAUGUUGCUCUCUUGAAACAAAAAAAGAAGAGGACUCUUGAGAUUCGUUUUUAAAUAAAUACUGGUGGAAUUUAAGAAACAUGAUUUUUAUCAUUUGUUGGAUGGUUUUUGGUUUUUGUUAUGUUGGUCUCCAAAUAAGUGCUCAGAUGUUCAUGGUCGUAUAUUUUAUUUCUUGAUGAUGUUUUUCUUUCUCUUCAGCAAUAAACACAUCUGUCAUAUAGUUAUCUUGUCUGAAAUUAGCUGAUGGUAUGUUUUGGAAGUUGACUG